CACGUAUGGGGCGAGCGUUGUUCGGAAUCAUUGGGCGUAAAGGGCGCGCAGGCGGUUAUGCAAGCCUGGUGUGAAAGACCGCAGCUCAACUGCGGGAACGCGCUGGGAACUGUAUGACUGGAGUUCAAGAGGGGAAGCUGGAAUUCCUGGUGUAGGGGUGAAAUCUGUAGAUAUCAGGAAGAACAUCAGUGGCGAAGGCGAGCUUCUGGCUAUGAACUGACGCUGAGGCGCGAAAGCGUGGGGAGCAAACAGG
rnacentral:rRNA from 1 species